UACGUAGGGGGCUAGCGUUGUCCGGAAUCAUUGGGCGUAAAGAGCGUGUAGGCGGCCCGGUAAGUCCGCUGUAAAAGUCAAAGGCUCAACCUUUGAAUGUCAGUGGAUACUGCCGGGCUAGAGUCCGGAAGAGGCGAGUGGAACUCCUGGUGUAGCGGUGGAAUGCGCAGAUAUCAGGAAGAACACCAACGGCGAAGGCAGCUCGCUAGGACGGUACUGACGCUGAGGCGCGAAAGCGUGGGGAGCGAACAGG
rnacentral:rRNA from 1 species